AUACUUACCUGACUGGGGAGAUACCAUGAUCAUAAAGGUACUUUACCCAGGGUGACGCUUAUUAUCCAUUGCACUUUAAAUGUGUUGACCCAUGUGAUUUCCCUAAAUGUGGAAAACUCAACUGCUUAAUUUGUGGUAGUGGGGAUCUGUGUUUGUGCUCUCAA